CAUGCACCCAAAAUCCUUGCGAAAUAUGAUCAGGGUUCAUUUUGUGUUUGGCAGGUUUUGUGCCUGGAGCUGCACUUCCCGCCAUUGCAAGUCCUGCCCAGCUUGCACAGAACAGCUUCAGAAAUGACAAAGGCUGCAAGGUGCUCACACACUGUGAUGGCCAGCUGGACAGGAUUGAAAAGGACAGUGACAAGUUAUGCAAGCAAGCAGUGGGUAAUUUACUUUGUGAAGAUGUUUAAAACUCACCAUUGUUUGGGGCUCAUGAGUGGAAGUUUAUUAUGAUAAAUUUGUUGGAGGGUAAGGUCACAUUUUUGUUUCUUGGGUGAAAAGUGAGGCCAGACAAAUAGAGAAAUAGAGUUACAAGCACAUUUUGCAGUUGUCUGGAUCCUUUCAGGCGUGGGGUGCAAUGAGAGUGACCUGGUGGAUGUUGGCUGGAGGAGGGGUAUGAAAGGGGAAAUUAAUUACACCAGUAGGCCUGGAGUGAAUUUAAGCUGAAGAACUUUGCAGGGAGGACAGGAAUGAGAAAAAGGGAAGAAGAAAGAGAAAAAGAAAUUUCCUUGUUGGGAUGAAGGUGAUGAGACUGGAGGAACUGGUGUGAAGAUGUGUGUGAGUGGGUCAGACCUGAGCCAUGCAUGAGGGCAAGGGGGAGCUGCCUUGGGUACAGAACAGGUUAAACAAGGACAUAUGGCAAGGAGGUAGGAAAGGCAGAGGGAGCUGAAGGCUGGGAGUGUAGAAGGUGAGCCCAGUGUGACAAUGGGUGAGAUGGCAGGCAGGCCUUUCCUUUUCCAGAGGCAGUUGCUUAUGAAUACCCAUUAUGUCUGGUUUUAUCUCUCUGCAAGGAAGCUUUCCAAAAGUACGAAUAAUACCUUAUUAGGUAGAGGGUGAAGCCCCUCCUUUUUAUCCUGCUUUAAUUCAUGUUUCCUCUGCUUUGGUGGCUGCCUUGCAGAAGGUGCUGUUAGAAGUGCAAUUAUCAUUCUUCCUGGUUGGGCGGUAUGAAGGGCGUCGCUCUCUCAGCAUCUCCUGGAGGCUUAUUACUCAAGAGAGAGGAGCUGUGCACGAGAAGCCAAAUUAAACUGGGCAAAGAGGAGGCUGUUCCCACUGCAGGGAUGGAACAGAUUGUUUUGCUGAAGACCAGAGCCACAGGCAGUGGGCAGUGCUGGGGACAACCUACUCUCCCUUCUGGAGCUCCAACUGGAUCACGGGAACCAGGUUUUAAAGGCACUGUGCUGGCUGGGAUCUGCAUUCUGUCCCUGCUUCCACAAGGAAUAUGAGGAAGACUGAGCAGCACCAUCACAGCCUGUUUCUCUUCAGCAUAAGGGUGACCAGUGUCCCACCUUGCCUUGGAGGUCAAUGGAAGUUCACUUGUCGACUUCAUGCACAGGAUUUCAACCCGUGUCUGUGAUUAGUGGUGAAAUGAAAUUCACAGUUUGGAAUAAUUUAUCCAGCAUACCCAAUCAAACACAAACAUCCUUUGUGCUUGAAAAUGAAUCAGGGCUGGAGGCAGCUAGCCUGCUGCAGGGGUUUGUGAUAGAUUAAUGAGCUGAGAACAAGCUGCCACCUCCACCCCCAUCAUCAGUGACUUUCCAGUCUGAGGAGAGGGGCGCUGAGCUGGAGGUGAAGGAUAUACUCUCUGAUAAGUGUUGCAGUGGGAGGUGAGAAAUAAGAGCUUCAAGUGGAGGAGGAGGGGAGGAAAAAAGACUGUCCUCUGUUAAGCAGGGUACAGUUUAGACAGAGCAGCUGCCUGACAGGCUUGUGGCAGGAGGGGCAGGGCAGGAGCAGCCCUGUGCUUGCAGCACCUGUUAUUGAAUGCUACCUGCAGGUACCAGGGCAGCACAGACCGUGAUUCCCUGACUUCUGCCAGUCACGUGGGAAGGUCAGGGACCUGGGAGAGGAAAGGAGAUGAUGAAACACUGACAAGGUCUGCCCUCAGUGAGAUGCACUAACACCAAUGCAGAAGGGACCAUAUCCCAGAGGCUUCUUGGGCUUAAAGAUGAAAAUAAAAUCUGAAUUUGAUUAUCA
rnacentral:lncRNA from 1 species